GACGAACGCUGGCGGCGUGCCUAAUACAUGCAAGUCGAACGCAGUGGGGACGGGUGAUUAACACGUGGGUAACCUCCCAUCAGAGGGCAUAACACUUGGCAACAGGUGCUAAACUGAUACUGAUGGAUGGACCCGCGGUGCAUUAGCUAGUUGGGGGGGUAACGGCUCACCAAGGCCACGAUGCAUAGCCGACCUGAGAGGAUGAUCGGCCACACUGGGACUGAGACACGGCCCAGACUCCUACGGGAGGCAGCAGUAGGGAAUAUUCGGCAAUGGACGAAAGUCUGACCGAGCAACGCCGCGUGAGUGAAGAAGGUUUUCGGAUCGUAAAGCACUGUUGUUGGAGAAGCGGUAUCUAACCAAAAAGCAACGGCUAACUACGUGCCAGCAGCCGCGGUAAUAC
rnacentral:rRNA from 1 species